UAGGGAAUCUUCCGCAAUGGGCGAAAGCCUGACGGAGCAACGCCGCGUGAGUGAUGAAGGUCUUCGGAUCGUAAAACUCUGUUAUUAGGGAAGAACAAAUGUGUAAGUAACUAUGCACGUCUUGACGGUACCUAAUCAGAAAGCCACGGCUAACUACGUGCCAGCAGCCGCGGUAAUACGUAGGUGGCAAGCGUUAUCCGGAAUUAUUGGGCGUAAAGCGCGCGUAGGCGGUUUUUUAAGUCUGAUGUGAAAGCCCACGGCUCAACCGUGGAGGGUCAUUGGAAACUGGAAAACUGGAGUGCAGAAGAGGAAAGUGGAAUUCCAUGUGUAGCGGUGAAAUGCGCAGAGAUAUGGAGGAACACCAGUGGCGAAGGCGACUUUCUGGUCUGUAACUGACGCUGAUGUGCGAAAGCGGGGGGAUCAAACAGG
rnacentral:rRNA from 1 species